rnacentral:rRNA from 1 species
UACGUAGGAGGCAAGCGUUGUCCGGAGUUACUGGGCGUAAAGCGUGUGUAGGCGGUUGGCUGCGUCCGGUGUGAAAUCUCCCGGCUUACCUGGGAGGGGGCAUCGGAUACGAGCGGACUUGAGGGCAUCAGAGGCCAGUAGAACUCCCGGUGGACCAGUGAAAUGGGUAGAGAUCGGGAAGAACACCAACGGCGAAAGCACUCUGCUGGGCCGACACUGACACUGAGAGACGAAAGCUAGGGGAGCGAAUGGG